rnacentral:rRNA from 1 species
UACGUAGGGUGCAAGCGUUGUCCGGAAUUAUUGGGCGUAAAGAGCUCGUAGGCGGUCUGUCGCGUCGGCUGUGAAAGCCCGGGGCUUAACCCUGGGCCUGCUUCCGAUACGGGCAGACUAGAGGUAUGCAGGGGAGAACGGAAUUCCUGGUGUAGCGGUGAAAUGCGCAGAUAUCAGGAGGAACACCGGUGGCGAAGGCGGUUCUCUGGGCAUUACCUGACGCUGAGGAGCGAAAGUGUGGGGAGCGAACAGG